GCUUGGUGAUGGUGAUGGCGGUGUGUUUGUGUGCGUGUAUUCGUGUGGUCACAAAAGCUAUUUAUAAAACGAGCUUUUUUUUGCGGCCUCCUAACUAGGGUUAAAGAUACAUCUCUGAUCUCAGUCACCAAAAUAGUCACUGAUGGGGUUAGACGAGGGUAGGGGUAAUGGUUUGUCCAGGAAGAUGGCGAUGGCAACAGAUGGUACGAGAAAAUGGCCGCCGGGAUCACGUGUCGGUCUUGACGAGUAUUUCCCACCUGAAUCGUUCUCAAAAUGUGGUACUUGGACUACCAAAGGACAUGAUACAUCAUUCAAGAACUUGUUGGAAAUGCAAAUGAUCUCCUGCUUCCAGUUUCCUGCUCUCCUGGAGUUCCUGCCCUGACUUCCUUGGAUGAUGGACUGUUACCUGAAAGAAGCUGAA